AUGGUCACAUCAAGCUGAAACACCUGUUCCAAUAUGAUCACUGAAGUUAAGUAAUAUUGAGCCUGGUCAGUACCUAGAUGGGUAACCACUUGGGAAUACAAAGUGC